CUACGGAGGGUGCGAGCGUUACUCGGAGUCACUGGGCGUAAAGCGUCCGUAGGCGGUCGGGUAAGUCGGGUGUGAAAGCCCCGGGCUCAACCUGGGAAGUGCACCCGAUACUGCUCGACUCGAGUGCGGGAGAGGAUGGCGGAAUUCCCGGUGUAGCGGUGAAAUGCGUAGAGAUCGGGAGGAACACCAGUGGCGAAGGCGGCCAUCUGGCCCGCAUCUGACGCUGAGGGACGAAAGCGUGGGGAGCAAACAGGAUUAGAUACCCUAGUAGUCC
rnacentral:rRNA from 1 species